UACGUAGGGGGCGAGCGUUGUCCGAAGUUACUGGGCGUAAAGCGCGCGUAGGCGGUCAUUUAAGUCUGAGGUGAAAGGUUCAGCGCUCAACGUGAACAGUGCCUUGGAUACUGGGUGACUUGAGUUCGGGAGGGGGCAGUGGAAUUCCAGGUGUAGCGGUGAAAUGCGUAGAUAUCUGGAGGAACACCGAUGGCGGAGGCAGCUGCCUGGCCCAGAACUGACGCUGAGGUACGAAAGCGUGGGGAGCGAACGGG
rnacentral:rRNA from 1 species